rnacentral:rRNA from 1 species
AGGAUAAACGCUGGCGGCGUGCCUAACACAUGCAAGUCGAGCGCCCGUAGCAAUACGGGAGCGGCAGACGGGAUAGUAACACGUGGGAACGCGCCCUUCGGUUCGGAAUAACUCAGGGAAACUUGAGCUAAUACCGAAUACGCCCUUACGGGGAAAGAUUUAUUGCCGAAGGAACGGCCCGCGUCCGAUUAGCUAGUUGGUGAGGUAAUGGCUCACCAAGGCUACGAUCGGUAGCUGGUCUGAGAGGAUGACCAGCAUCACUGGGACUGAGACACGGCCCAGACUCCUACGGGAGGCAGCAGUGGGGAAUAUUGGACAAUGGGCGCAAGCCUGAUCCAGCCAUGCCGCGUGGAUGAUGAAGGCCUUAGGGUUGUAAAGUCCUUUUAACGGGGAAGUAUAAUGACGGUACCCGUAGAAUAAGCCCGGCUAACUUCGUGCCAGCAGCCGC